GCCCCAGGUCUGCAAGUAAGUUCCUGCUUGUCACACAUUCCACACUUCUACACUGAAGUCAAAUAUUUUUUCAGUUUAUGGAUUUUUUCCCCCUUCUAUUAGUGCCUGUAUUAGUUUUCAAAGGCUGCUUGAAGAAAUUUGAAUACGUGAAAAUGUAUUUCUGCAAGCUAGAAGACAGAAGUUUGAAAGGCUAGAGAUGGAAUCGGAGCUGCAGCUGCCAGCCUGUGCCAUAGCCACAGCAAUGCUAGAUGAGCUGCAUCUGUGACCUGUGCCACAGCUUGCUGCAACACUGAAUACUUAACCCACUGAGUGAGACCAGGGAUUGAACCUGCAUCCUUGAGGACACUAUGUUGGGUUCUUAACCUGCUCAGCCACAACGUGAACUCCACCAAUGGAGGAAGUCUGAAAGGUUGAACAUUAAUCUUAAAUACUGAGCUAAUUGCUCAGUAAGAGUUUAAGAGACUGAGAAACCAGUAUUUGACUGAAUCCAGCUUGCCUCCAUGAGCCUUGGCUACAUUGCUGUCCUGGCUUGAAAUGCGGGUGUGUGAUAGGAAUGUCGUCAUCACCAAGAACAUGAGGAAAAUAAACAUAAAGGUAAUGAAUAAGUUAUAGUCAUAAUAACAAUAGUAGUAAUGAUUAAUGAUAACAUUUAUGGAGCACUUGCUUUGUGCCAGGGUCUGUACUUUAUAGGCAAUAACUCAUUUAAUAUUGACAGCAACAACCUAUGAAAUAUAUGCGACUCUUAAGCCUCCAAUUUACAGAUGAGGAAACUAAGGCACAGAGAAAUUGUGUCAUGUCUGUUGAGCUAAGGGGUGAAGCCAGCAACCCAGGAUACUGGCUCUAGAGCUCUUAACCACCUAUGCUAUGUUGCCACUCAAAAAUGAUAAGUGGAAGGGUUAGGACUAAAGCUUCUGGCUUCUAGUCCACUGUUUUUCUUGGAUAAGAAGCCCUAACUAUGCAGCAUGUUUAAAACUAUAUACUAAUAGGGGAUACAAAAUAUGUAAAUUACAUGGUACUCAUCUUUGGGAAAAUUUCCAGACCAGCAAUAAAAGCACAAAGUAUCUUUAUUUGGAGGAUGAAUUGAAGGAGAUAAAACCAGUUCUUGGAGAGCUUUGACUUUCAAGCUAAGUAAUCUGUGGUUAUAGCAUGGUUGGUUAUAGUUAUAUCAAAUGUAAUGUUAAUGUAUGUGGUCAAUGACUUUAAAUCUAAUACACUUUCUUCCUUUGUUUCUUUCUCCCUCCCCUCUUUCAAUAUCCCUUUCUUUUUUCCCCACAUAUAUAGCAUUUAGGUGUAUUUCUCUAUAACUUCAGUUAGUUAUGAGAACAUUUAAAACUUGUUAUAAGUAUAGAGAGAACACUCAUAUUUACUAUGAGAGAUCUUCAGCUAUAUUUAUGAGGUCUGGAGAAAAUAUUUACAAAUAAUUACUGCUGCUUUGCUCUUUUAAGGAAGAUACUAUAAUGAAGUCUGAGAGAAAAGUUGCUGAUUGGCUUCUAGUAAACAGAGCAAAAUCAGGAGAGUUCCUGUUGUGGUGCAGCAGAAACAAAUCUGACUAGGAACUGUGAGGUUGUGGGGUCAACCCCUGGCCUGGCUCAGUGGGUUAAAGAGCCGGCAUUGCCUUGAGCUGUGGUGUAGCUCACAGACUCGGCUCAGAUCUGGUAUUGCCGUGACUGUGGUGUAGGCUAGCAGUUGCAGCUCUGAUUAGACCCCUAGCCUGGGAACCUCCAUAUGACACAGGUGUCACCCAUAAAAGACAAAAGACAAAAGAAAAAAUAGCAAAAUCACUUCUAAAUAGCAUAACAGUAAGUCAUGUGUAAAUAAAUGUUCUUAAAUGCUUAAAGGUAAUUAACAUAGUUUAAACAGUUUUUAUGAAAUUUUGUGGAAAAUUUAUUUACUUUUAAAAUAAAGACUUUCUUUAGAGAUAGUAUAAACAUUAGCCUGGCCUUCUGAGUAAUUACAAAUUCAGCUUUAGUGGAGUGUGAGUUAAAGAAGCAUUAUUGCUUUUCCAAUGCUCCUCAUUCCUUUUGGAAAAUUAAGGAGAGUAAGGAAAGCGUUGUCUGAUUCUUUUUAUAUAUACCACUGUAUCUGCUACCCACUAGGUGUUGACUGAUGAGGAUGAAAGGACAGAUGUGCCCCAGGAGUGCAUUUACCAAUGUAGAUAAUCCCUUUUGGGGGAUGAAAUCUCAGGAAAGGGAAGCUGCUUCUACCAAAGAGGACAAAGAAAAACAAAGAUUUGGUUUGUAAUUUUUUUUUUCCUGGUUGUUUUAGAAUUUCCAUUUUUAGAUGAAUUUCUCACUUGUGUGAAUUUAUGAAAGGCAAAUUAUGACUUCCAAUGUUUUUCUCUCAAGCAAUCCACUUGGUUUUCCAUUCUACAUACCUCAAAUGAUUCCAUUCUGUUAGAAAUGUUAUAUGUAAUUCUGCAUUUACGCAAGAAGUAACUUGCCAGAAGGGGGUUGAGAUUUGGAUUUUGGACCACAAACAUGUAUUAUAUUUCCUCCUGCAUAUACUCAUAAUAAGAUUAUGUUCAGUGGGUAACCUUCCUUAACAGCAAACAUGAGCAACUUGGAAUUAAAAAAUACUAAAGGAGUUCCCAUCAUGGCUCAGCAGAAAUGAAUCUGACUAGCAUCUAUGAGGAUCCAGAUUCCAUCCCUGGCCUUGCUCAGUGGGUAAAGGAUCUGGCGCUGCUGUGAACAGUGGGUAUAGGUCACAGAAAAAAAAAAAAAAA
rnacentral:lncRNA from 1 species